AUAAAGCCCUUGACGGGGAGAGUAUCCGUUGUGUGGAGGUAUUAGCGAGCCGGAGUUGGUGAAAGUCCGGACCGAAAGCAGGCGGUGAAGCGCACCCCCGAGGCGGCAGCUGAAGCCGGCGAUGUACCGGUGAGUAGGCUGGCCCGGUUUUAUACCGUUAUCAAGGCCGUUUUUCGUGAAAACGGUUUGAGAGGAUCGGCUAAUUAGCCGAUCAAUAAAGGUGGUAACGCGAGCCUCUCGUCCUUUAA
rnacentral:ncRNA from 1 species